rnacentral:rRNA from 1 species
UACAGAGGGGGCAAGCGUUGUUCGGAAUUAUGGGGCGUAAAGGGCGCGUAGGCGGUGUCUUAAGUCAGAUGUGUAAUCCCCGAGCUUAACUUGGGAACUGCAUCUGAGACUGGGAGGCUAGAGUACUGGAGAGGGUGGUGGAAUUCCUCGUGUAGCGGUGAAAUGCGUAGAGAGGAGGAGGAACACCAGUGGCGAAGGCGGCCACCUGGACAGUAACUGACGCGGAGGCGCGAAAGUGUGGGUAGCAAACAGG